GGACUACAGGGGUAUCUAAUCCCGUUCGCUCCCCUAGCUUUCGCGCCUCAGUGUCAGGGACAGACCAGAGAGCCGCCUUCGCCACAGGUGUUCCUCCUGAUAUCUACGCAUUUCACCGCUACACCAGGAAUUCCACUCUCCUCUUCUGUCCUCAAGUCAGACAGUAUCAAGCGACAUCUCCAAGUUAAGCUUAGAGUUUUCACGCUCGACUUAUCCGACCACCUACACGCCCUUUACGCCCAGUAAUUCCGGACAACGCUCGCUACCUCUGUAUUACCGCGGCUGCUGGCAC
rnacentral:rRNA from 1 species